rnacentral:rRNA from 1 species
ACGGCGAGUGAAGCGGGAUGAGCUCAAGCUUAAAAUCUUCGUGCAAUUUUUGCACGGCGAAUUGUAGUCUAUAGAGGCGUGGUCAGUAUAAGCACUUGGGGUAAGUUCCUUGGAAAAGGACAGCCAUGGAGGGUGAUACUCCCGUUCAUCUCUAAGUUGCUUGUGCGUACGACCCGUUUUCUUUGAGUCGCGUUGUUUGAGAAUGCAGCGCAAAGUAGGUGGUAAAUUCCAUCUAAAGCUAAAUAUUGGUGCGAGACCGAUAGCAAACAAGUACCGUGAGGGAAAGAUGAAAAGAACUUUGAAAAUAGAGUUAAAGAGUACCUGAAACUGCUGAAAGGGAACCAAAUCGUUUCCAGUGUCUAUAAUCCGUGGUAUAUUUCAUUGGCGAGUGUGUGCGUGCGUGUGCUGUUGCAGUGGCUUUUUGGCUGCGCUCGGUGUGUGUGCUGUGUGUACUUGCUGGUGCCCUGUGCUGCGGUGGAACGUCAAGGUCAGUUCGUAUACUGCRGCAAAUGGCUACUGAGGAGGUACGGCUUACGCAUGCGUUUSUCUGUUAUAUCUUGGUGCACGAGUCGUCGCGGUUGGGACWGAGGUGCCUACAACGURCUUCUGAGUGGGCUUGGGUCUCCGUGUGCSCCGUGUGCGGAUAGCUUGCUAUGCGUGUGUGAGUUGUAUGURGAU